ACUGAGCAUAUACCUGUUCCUGAACCAGGCUCUUCAGGGAUGGAGGCUAAUGAACUGAGUCAGAUAGAAGUGACAAGAGAUUAUGUUCAACAGGGCCAGAUGGCAUCCAUCCAAGAGUCCUCAAAGAACUCAAAUGUGAAAUUGUCAACCUCCUUGGUAAAAUAUAUAACUUAUUUCUGCAAUCAGGUUCUGUACCAGAGGACUGGAAAGUAGUAAAUGUAACACCGAUUUUCAAAAAGGGAUCCAGGGGCAAUCCGGGAAAUUACAGUCUGGUUAGCUUAACGUCAUUUCCAGGAAUUGAUGGAAAGCAUUCUCAAGGACAAAAUUGUAAAGCACAUUGAACAGGCCCUGCUGGGAAAGAAUCAGAAUGGCUUCUGCAAAGCUAAAUCUUGCCUCACAAACCUUUUGGAGUUCCUUGAGAGUGUCAACAAGUGUGUGGAUCAAGGUGAUCCAGUUGAAAUAGUAUACCUGGACUUCCAAAAAGCUUUUGACAAAGUUCCUCAUCAAAGACUCCUGAGAAAACCUAGUGGUCAUGAGAAAAGGGAACAAGUACAUGUGUGGAUUGCUAACCGGUUGAAGGACAGGAAACAGAGGGCCAGAGGCAUCCUACUACAGAAGAAGACCGUGGCCAGGCAGGAGCAGGCGGGGUUCAGCCCUUUCAUACUGCUCUGCAGUCCUGACCAAAAUACCCCCUCCCAAAGCUGCUGUAAUGCCCAGAAGGGAACCUGCUAAAGGCUCAAAGGGCAGCUUCUCUGCUGGCAUAAAUAGCAGCAGCCUUGCAGGGGGGAUUUUCAUUGAAACUGCAGCAUAGGGACAGACAGACAGGAAACUGGGGGACUUUGUGGCUACUCUUCUCAAGAAUAAAGCAAAGAUGUACUUGACUUCAUGUCUAGUUUGACCCUGAAAUUAGGAUUUUAAAUGUGUCACACUGGCCCUGAUAUGCUUUAACUUACUUUGGUACAGGUUGAGUAUCCCUAAUCCAGACAUCCAAAAUCCUGAAUGCUCCAAAAUCCAGAAACCACCACGGCGUGCGCCCACAGCACCAACCCGUUGCGGCUGAGCGCCUCAUAACAAAACAAAAAACAAUACGCUUAAGCUCACUUUGGUGCUAGAGACGAAGGCGAGCGGGGGAGAACAAGGCCGGCAGCUGGAAUAGCAGCCACUGCCAAAGUGUAAAUCGAGAACUGGAAGGGAAAGGGACAGAGCGGGAUGAGGGAGGGUUGGAUGAUAGGGGAAAGCCCCCCUCCUCCACUCCCUGCUCAGUUUGGCACCUGCUCUGUUUUGUAAAGGUACAGUACAGUGUAUUGUCAAAAGUAUCAAAAAGGCCUGCAGACACUUGGAUCUCAUGCCCAAGAUAUCUCAUUAUAGUAUGUAAAUAUUCCAAAACCCAGAAAAGUCCAAAAUUCAGAACACUUCUGGUCCCAAGCAGUUUGGAUAAGGGAUACUCAAUCUGUAUUCACAGCAUUCCAGACAGCGAUGGCCCAGGAUAUGGUGACACCUGAGGCAAAGCACCUACUGCUGCCUUUGCCACAGGACCCAGGUGGGGCUAGCUUCCUUUCAAAACAGACCCAUGCAAGCUUUGGAAGUGGCACCAGGGACAGAAAAGAGACUGCCAGCAGCCUCUUCUUCUCCCCUCAUGCUUCUUUCAAGCUUUGCAAGCAGUAUGAGGAGAGGCACUCAUUCCAAAACUUGCAUGGGCCGGAGAGCUCCCAAGAGCUGCUCCAAUGGCAUGGGGGGGGGGCAUCAUGGAAUGGCCAACCAUGAUUCCACUUGCCCUCCAUGUAGAUUGUCACUGUGCUGGGGAAGAGGGAGGCUAGGAAUUCGACCCAGAUCCCUGCCACACUCCUGAUUUUGAUCAUCACUCUCACACUGUUUUCCAAGGGGGGAAAGCUUCCACAGGCACCAGAUCGGGACUGUGGUAGGGGUUGGGGUUAAAGCCUUCCGUAUCCCCCUCUUACGAAUCCACAGAGAAGUCCUGCUGUUUACCAAGGAAAAUUAAUGCACAUCAGGGCCAGAGAUGCAUUGAACACCACAACUACUUUGGCCCUUAAAGAGGGAGGAGAUAAGAGAGGGUAGGUUGGAAUGGAUGAUGAAAGGGUGGAAGAUAAAAGGCUAACAACUAAAGGACAUGAGCAAAUGCAAUUAGACACAUUUGGAGCCUUUUAAGGAGGAAUUAAAGAUUGAGGAGGGGCAACGUUAAGUGUUAGCCUUCCUUCCUUUCACUAACAUAUUGUGAGCCCCAUUUUUCACCUUGCACCCCACAAGCCCCCCAGAUAAGACCAGCCCUUUGGACUUUUUCUGUUUAGAAAUGUUAAAAUUCCUGCUUCGGUCUCAUCAGCAAAGAAUGUGUUGCGAUCACACUGUUCUGUAACAAGGAUCACAGACAAGAGAUUUAAAUAUUGUAUGGUCUUCAUUCAUCUUUAAUAUCAUGACAACUUGGUUAAAGUAUUUCCGUCCAUUGAAUGAAAAAGCUACAGAACCAUGAGUGUAGUAGGCUUCAGGCUGCUAAAUGUUUUAACAAGAGGGCUUGUGUCAAAAAAAUAAAAAUAAAGCUGAAGUGCAUGGUUUCUGAAAACA